ACAGCACGGGCGCGCUGCGGAUCAGCGCGCGCUCGCAUUCGGGAUGCGCGGCGAUGCCGGCCGCGAGCCAGCGCGCGUGAUCGUCGUCGUGCGCGCCGUG
rnacentral:tRNA from 1 species